rnacentral:tRNA from 1 species
GCUCCCGUAGCUCAGUGGACAGAGCGCCGAUCUUCUAAAUCGGAUGUCGGAGGUUUGAAUCCUCCCGGGAGCUCCA